rnacentral:rRNA from 1 species
GUAGGAGACACAGGGAUUGCCCUAGUAACGGCGAGUGAAGCGGCAACAGCUCAAAUUUGAAAUCUGGCGUCUUUGGCGUCCGAGUUGUAAUUUGCAGAGGGCGCUUUGGCAUUGGCAGCGGUCCAAGUUCCUUGGAACAGGACGUCACAGAGGGUGAGAAUCCCGUACGUGGUCGCUAGCCUUUACCGUGUAAAGCCCCUUCGACGAGUCGAGUUGUUUGGGAAUGCAGCUCUAAAUGGGAGGUAAAUUUCUUCUAAAGCUAAAUACUGGCCAGAGACCGAUAGCGCACAAGUAGAGUGAUCGAAAGAUGAAAAGCACUUUGGAAAGAGAGUUAAAAAGCACGUGAAAUUGUUGAAAGGGAAGCGCUUGCAGCCAGACUUGCCUGUAGUUGCUCAUCCGGGUUUUUACCCGGUGCACUCUUCUAUAGGCAGGCCAGCAUCAGUUUGGGCGGUUGGAUAAAGGUCUCUGUCACGUACCUCCUCUCGGGGAGAACUUAUAGGGGAGACGUAAUGCAACCAGCCUGGACUGAGGUCCGCGCAUCUGCUAGGAUGCUGGCGUAAUGGCUGUAAGCGGCCCGUCUUGAAACACGGACCAAGGAGUCUAACAUCUAUGCGAGUGUUUGGGUGUCAAGCCCGAGCGCGUAAUGAAAGUGAACGGAGGUGGGAACCUUUCGGGGUGCACCAUCGACCGAUCCUGAUGUCUUCGGAUGGAUUUGAGUAAGAGCAUAGCUGUUGGGACCCGAAAGAUGGUGAACUAUGCUUGAAUAGGGUGAAGCCAGAGGAAACUCUGGUGGAGGCUCGCAGCGGUUCUGACGUGCAAAUCGAUCGUCAAAUUUGGGCAUAGGGGCGAAAGACUAAUCGAACUAUCUAGUAGCUGGUUCCUGCCGAAGUUUCCCUCAGGAUAGCAGUAACGUUUUCAGUUUUAUGAGGUAAAGCGAAUGAUUAGAGGCCUGGGGGUUGAAACAACCUUCACCUAUUCUCAAACUUUAAAUAUGUAAGAAGUCCUUGUUACUUAAUUGAACGUGGACAGUUGAAUGUAUCGUUACUAGUGGGCCAUUUUUGGUAAGCAGAACUGGCGAUGCGGGAUGAACCGAACGCGGGGUUAAGGUGCCAGAAUAUACGCUCAUCAGACACCACAAAAGGUGUUAGUUCAUCUAGACAGCAGGACGGUGGCCAUGGAAGUCGGAAUCCGCUAAGGAGUGUGUAACAACUCACCUGCCGAAUGAACUAGCCCUGAAAAUGGAUGGCGCUCAAGCGUAUUACCCAUACCCCGCCGCUGGGGCAAGAUUUAAGCCCCAGCGAGUAGGCAGGCGUGGAGGUCCGUGACGAAGCCUG